rnacentral:lncRNA from 1 species
UGGGGAGUUCCCUGGCGGUCCCAGUGUUUAGGAAUUGGCAGUUUCAACUGUGGUGGCCCAGGUUUGACCGCUGGUCGGGGAACUAAGUCCCACAAGCCAUGCGGCACGGCCAAAAAAUAAAAUUAAUUAAAAUGGAGGUUGGUACAUGAGACAGGUGAUGGUGAGAUCCCUUUGACUGUUUUGGAGAACAAGCCUUACAUUUGUCCACAGGCUUAUCACCUUUUAGAGUUGCCGCCAUUUCAAAGAUCUAAGCUCCUCUGUAGCUCAACGAAUUGAGACGUGAUUUAGCCUCAUCAUUCAUUCUCUCCUGGGGCUGGGGCCCUUGUCCUCUAUUUCCAUUCCUAGGGUUCUUUCCCUUGAUCCAAUAAUGAUGUAUACAGCUUAAAAACAGUCCUGCUUAUAAGGAAGAAAAAAAAAAGUGGAAAUUUGCCAUGGAGUGGCUGUCCCAUAAUUGAAUUUCCAAACUCUGGGUGUGUGAGUAACUCACUACAACAAAUAUAUUUCUGAGCACUGGCACUGUUGUAGACACAGAAUAUGCUGGUGAACAAAACAUGCAAAGUAGUGGCCUUUUCACAGGAUGGAUUCAGGACAGAUGCUCCUCAGUAAAGCAUCAGAAAUAGAUUCUUCUUCAACUCGGAGUGCAGCUCUCUUCCACUUCUUGUGAAUUGCACGUCCUAUCAUGGCAGUCACGGCGUCUUUCCCAGUGAAAUCGUCCGUCUGGGUUCCCGAAUGGGCUGCCCAAGCCUGCCCUGAGGACCAGGUGCUGAACUCACCUUUCAGAGGUUGGCAUUCCAGGGUGUCAAGCCUGCAGACCAGAUGCAUCCUCCAAGUUGGAACGAGGGGAAGAACCGUGGCCAAUAGAAGAUGAAAACCGCAGUUGAACCUGUUCAGCAUCUCUGCCUAUUUCUUCCACCUGCCUUGCUACAAGAUUCUACCUUCCUGCUCUUACUCCAAAGAUCUUUGAAGGGACCUUCCUUGUGGUGCAGUGGUUAAGAAUCCUCCUGCCAGUGCAGGGGACACGGGUUCGAGCCCUGGUCCAGGAAGAUCCCACAUGCCACAAAGCAACUAAGCCCGUGUGCCACAACUGCUGAGCCCACGGCCACAACUACUGACGCCCGUGCACCUAGAGCCCGUGCUCAGCAACAAGAGAAGGUACCACAAUGAAAGGCCUGUGCACCGCAAUGAAGAGUAGCCCCUGCUCGCCGCAACUAGAGAAAGCCUGCACACAGCAACGAAGACCCACUGCAGCCAAAAAUAAAUUAAUUAAUUUUUUUUAAAAAAAGAAAAGUGAUUUUUGAAUUCAGCAGUUUUCUAACUAGUGCAUCUUCCUGCUUCGUUGGGAAAUAGUGAUUUCCCUUCCUGACAUUUAACCCCACGUUAAAUGCUGUACCCACACCAUAACUUGAUCUCUGUGUGUUUAUAUGGUUUCUUAGCUUCUUGCUAUAGAUUAAGUGUUGGGGUCCCCCCAAUCAUGUGUUGAAACCCUAACCACAAGGUGAUGGUAUUAGGAGGUGGGCCCUUUGAGAGGUGAUUAGGUCAUGAGGACCCAGAGAGAGCUCUUGUCCCUUAUCCCAUAUGAGGUGGGGGCUAGAAGGCGCUGUCUAUGAGGAAGCAGGCCCUCACCAGGCACCAAAUCUACUAGCGUCUUGAUCAUGGACUUCUUAGCCUCUGGAACCAUGAGAAGUAAAUUUCUGUC